AGACACCCUUCUGGGGCAAGACUUGCUUCAGUGGGGCUUUGGUGCUCACUGAGUCUGCCCCCUGAUUGUGUCCCU
rnacentral:pre_miRNA from 1 species